GAUGAACGCUGGCGGCGUGCCUAAUACAUGCAAGUCGAACGAAUCUCUUUUAGAGAUGAGUGGCGAACGGGUGAGUAAUACAUAGGUAACCUGCCCCUGUGCGGGGGAUAACAGGAGGAAACUCCUGCUAAUACCGCAUAGCCAUGAGCACCGCAUGGAGCUCAUGCCAAAUAUCCUUUAUGGGAUAGCGCAGGGAUGGACCUAUGGCGCAUUAGCUGGUUGGCGGGGCAACGGCCCACCAAGGCAACGAUGCGUAGCCGGCCUGAGAGGGCGGACGGCCACAUUGGGACUGAGACACGGCCCAGACUCCUACGGGAGGCAGCAGUAGGGAAUUUUCGGCAAUGGGGGAAACCCUGACCGAGCAACGCCGCGUGAGCGAAGAAGGCCUCGGUCGUAAGACUCUGUGUAAGGAAGAACGGCGCAUACAGGAAAUGGUAUGCGAGUGACGGUACUUU
rnacentral:rRNA from 1 species